AAACMGCGAAMGGCUCAUUAAAUCAGUUAUAGUUUAUUUGAUGGUACCUUACUACCGGAUAACCGUAGUAAUUCUAGAGCUAAUACGUGCGUAAACCCCGACUCCUGGAAGGGGCGUAUUUAUUAGAUUUAAGGCCGACCCGGCUCUGCCGGUCUCGCGGUGAAUCAUGAUAACUUCACGAAUCGCAUGGCCUUGUGCCGGCGAUGUUUCAUUCAAAUUUCUGCCCUAUCAACUUUCGAUGGUAGGAUAGARGCCUACCAUGGUGGUAACGGGUGACGGAGGAUUAWGGUUCGAUUCCGGAGAGGGAAC
rnacentral:rRNA from 1 species